rnacentral:misc_RNA from 1 species
UACGGAGGGGACUAGCGUCGUUCGGAAUAACUGGGCGUAAAGCGCGCGUAGGUGGUUGAGUCAGUCAGAUGUGAAAGCCCCGGGCUUAACCUGGGAACUGCACCUGAUACUGCUUAACUAGAGUACGGUAGAGGGCAGUGGAAUUUCCUGUGUAGCGGUGAAAUGCGUAGAUAUAGGAAGGAACACCAGUGGCGAAGGCGACUGCCUGGACUGAUACUGACACUGAGGUGCGAAAGCGUGGGUAGCAAACAGG